GAGUAAUGCCUAGGAAUCUGCCUAGUGGUGGGGGAUAACGUUCGGAAACGGACGCUAAUACCGCAUACGUCCUACGGGAGAAAGCGGGGGAUCUUCGGACCUCGCGCCAUUAGAUGAGCCUAGGUCGGAUUAGCUAGUUGGUGAGGUAAUGGCUCACCAAGGCGACGAUCCGUAACUGGUCUGAGAGGAUGAUCAGUCACACUGGAACUGAGACACGGUCCAGACUCCUACGGGAGGCAGCAGUGGGGAAUAUUGGACAAUGGGCGAAAGCCUGAUCCAGCCAUGCCGCGUGUGUGAAGAAGGUCUUCGGAUUGUAAAGCACUUUAAGUUGGGAGGAAGGGUAGUAACUUAAUACGUUGCUACUUUGACGUUACCGACAGAAUAAGCACCGGCUAACUUCGUGCCAGCAGCCGCGGUAAUACGAAGGGUGCAAGCGUUAAUCGGAAUUACUGGGCGUAAAGCGCGCGUAGGUGGUUCAGUAAGUUGGAAGUGAAAUCCCCGGGCUCAACCUGGGAACUGCUUUCAAAACUGCUGAGCUAGAGUACGGUAGAGGGUGGUGGAAUUUCCUGUGUAGCGGUGAAAUGCGAAGAUAUAGGAAGGAACACCAGUGGCGAAGGCGACCACCUGGACUGAUACUGACACUGAGGUGCGAAAGCGUGGGGAGCAAACAGGAUUAGAUACCCUGGUAGUCCACGCCGUAAACGAUGUCAACUAGCCGUUGGAAUCCUUGAGAUUUUAGUGGCGCAGCUAACGCAUUAAGUUGACCGCCUGGGGAGUACGGCCG
rnacentral:rRNA from 1 species